GCUUACGGCCAUACCAACCUUGCUAUGCCCGAUCUCGUCUGAUCUCGGAAGCUAAGCAGGUUUGGGCCUGGUUAGUACUUGGAUGGGAGACCGCCUGGGAAUACCAGGUGCUGUAAGCU
ensembl:rRNA 5S_rRNA 5S ribosomal RNA